AUGAAGAUGGGGAUCGGAUCAACGUCAAGAAUGACACUCGCCGACGAGGAGACCCGGCCAAACACUGACAGCUUAUCGUCCGACCUGGGCCAGGAAAAAUCUCAUCUUCAUGGGCGCGAGUGGGGGACACGCCCGCCGGUUCUGCACGCGCGAGCCGCCGACGACGACGACGAACGGAAAGGACGCCACCGCCGCCACCGCUGGCUGGAAAAGGGGCCGGAGGGCGAUGGGUCGUCGUCUCGCCGUCGGUCUGCAGUGGGAGAGGAAGAAGAACAAGAGAAACGCGACGAGGGUCUCCGUUUCCCCGAAGAGUCGCUAGGGUGA
rnacentral:rRNA from 1 species